GAUGAAGAACGCAGUGAAAUGCGAUACGUAAUGUGAAUUGCAGAAUUCAGUGAAUCAUCGAGUCUUUGAACGCACAUUGCGCCCCCUGGUAUUCCGGGGGGCAUGCCUGUCCGAGCGUCAUUGCUGCCCUCAAGCACGGCUUGUGUGUUGGGCCUCCGUCCUCCUCCCGGGGGACGGGCCCGAAAGGCAGCGGCGGCACCGCGUCCGGUCCUCGAGCGUAUGGGGCUUUGUCACCCGCUCUUGUAGGCCCGGCCGGCGCUUGCCGACACAUCAAUCUUUUUUCCAGGUUGACCUCGGAUCAGGUAGGGAUACCCGCUGAACUUAAGCAUAUCAAUAAGCGGAGGA
rnacentral:misc_RNA from 1 species